CUACGAAGGGGGCUAGCGUUGUUCGGAAUUACUGGGCGUAAAGCGCGUGUAGGCGGAUCGUUAAGUCAGGGGUGAAAGCCCGGGGCUCAACCCCGGAACUGCCCUUGAUACUGGCGAUCUAGAGUCCGGAAGAGGCGGGCGGAAUUCCCGGUGUAGAGGUGAAAUUCGUAGAUAUCGGGAGGAACACCAGUGGCGAAGGCGGCUCACUGGUCCGGUACUGACGCUGAGACGCGAAAGCGUGGGGAGCAAACAGGAUUAGAAACCCUAGUAGUCC
rnacentral:rRNA from 1 species